rnacentral:rRNA from 1 species
UACGGAGGGUGCGAGCGUUGUCCGGAAUCACUGGGCGUAAAGCGCACGUAGGCGGCCUUGUAAGUCGGAUGUGAAAUCCCACGGCUCAACCGUGGAAGUGCAUCCGAAACUGCGAGGCUCGAGUAUGGAAGAGGGUCGCAGAAUUCCCGGUGUAGAGGUGAAAUUCGUAGAUAUCGGGAGGAAUACCAGUGGCGAAGGCGGCGACCUGGGCCAAUACUGACGCUGAGGUGCGAAAGCGUGGGGAGCAAACAGG